rnacentral:rRNA from 1 species
AUACGGAGGAUCCGAGCGUUAUCCGGAUUUAUUGGGUUUAAGGGGUGCGCAGGCGGCCAUUUAAGUCAGCGGUUAAAUCGUGGGGCUCAACCCCAUUCUGCCGUUGAUACUGGGUGGCUUGAUUGCGGUCGAGGUUGGCGGAAUUCGUUGUGUAGCGGUGAAAUGCAUAGAUAUGACGAAGAACACCGAUUGCGUAGGCAGCUGACCAGACCGCAAAUGACGCUCAUGCACGAAAGUGCGGGGAUCGAACAGGAUUAGAUACCCUGGUAGUCCGCACAGUAAACGAUGAAUACUUGUUUUCGGCGAUAUAAUGUCGGAGGCAAAGCGAAAGCGAUAAGUAUUCCACCUGGGGAGUACGCCGGCAACGGUGAAACUCAAAGGAAUUGACGGGG